ACACGUCCCAUAGUGCACCGGGCGUCCACCCCCCUCCCAUUCAGCGCGUUUCCUCUUCUCGCAGCUUGAGUUUCUGUGUAUCGGUGUUGUUGUUGAUGCAAUGAUGGCGGCAGCGGGAUGCGGAUCAGCAACCGCGGCUGCCGUUGUGGGCGCAGGCGGCGUGGGCGCGGCGCGGGGUCGCUUCCCCGGUCGGCCUUGGUCGUCGCGGAGCCGUUUGCGCUCGGAGAAGCGAUGGCAGCUCGGCCGCUCUGGGACAGAUCUAGACGAGAUCUCCUCCAAUGGAGGCCCGAGGCCCACCUGCCUGGUGCUCGCGCUGAACGAGGACCAGUCUCACUUACGCCUUCUCGGGCUUGAGGCGAGCUACAAGAGCCUGGAAGAGGCUGGAUACAGCUCGAGUGGGAGCGAAGAGGGAGCUGAAUUCAAAGGCUUUGAUGUUCAUGAUGAAAAUAGCAGCACCCCGGUUCGAGCUGGACGGAAUGCAUGUAAACGUGAUCGUGUUUCAGCAAAGUCGUCAAAGAGGAUACGUCAAAGGCGGUCUCUUAAAGUGUCCCCUAUAAUAGAAAGCACAGGUUCACAAGAUUCUCAAAAUGAUUCAGGUUCUGUUCAACAAAUUUACAGUCAAGAGUCUCUGAAGGACACAUCAGUAGUUGCUGGUGGUGGUGAUGGAGGAUUGGAGAAGCGCACCAGGAGAAAAAGAGGGUCAACAAAACAGGAGACCCAGUCAACUCCAAAAAUCACAAUCAAGUUUGUGGCUAAAAAGAAAGUGGUUACAGUUCCAUCAGUGCAACGUAAAUCUGGUAAAAAACUGAAGGAAAUAAAAUCUGAAGUUACAGAGAGUCAGUGUGCCCAAAUCUCAAGUGCUCAUGUGAAAUUAAAGACAAAUGUACCAGCUAGUGAAUGCAUUGCCGGUGGAGCAAAGGAGGAGGUUUGUACUAGAAGGCGAGGAAGAUCUGCUGACAAGAAAUCAGAAUCCACUCCACAAACAAAUCCUGAAAAAGAGGCCAAUGAGCAAAAACUGAAGCUGAGGAAAUCAACUCGAAGGUCUCAAACUCCACUGCCCAGCAAAAGUAUAGAGCCAAAAUCUGAUGAAAAUUCAGCACAAGAAGGAUCAGAGGUGAAUAAGUUAGUGAUUAGGAGACAAUGUCGAAGAUCCUCAAAUGUUCCACAGGAAUCGGGUGACCAGAGCUUAGCAGAGUCGCUGUUAGAGGUCUCCACAAUUGAUGAAUCCAGGCCACCUUCAAAGAAGAAAAAAGGUAAAAAGAAAAAGAAGAAGAAAAAUCACAAAGAAUCCGAAAGGAAAAAGGAGCCUCAUUCACCAUCAUCAAAAGGUUUUGGCCCUGCAUCCAAUGAUCCUCAAAAUCUCGCUUUCGGCAAUGAUUUUGUUGGAAUUCCCGGUCUGAGACUAACCAGGAUACGAAACCCCAAAGCCAGGUCUCGCAAGAAACGCUGCAAGUUUGUUUGGACUCUCACACUAGUGAAAAGCAAAAGCAAAGAUUCCCAAAUUCAAGAGAAUCUAAAUCAAACCCAAGAAAGCAAAAGCAAUGAUUCCCUCAUCCUAGAUGACCUCAGCAAACCACAAGAAAUCAAGGGCCAAGAUUCUCAAGUCCAAGAGAAUCCAAGCCCCAGCACAGAGGCAGAACCUCCUGCUAAAUGUGAUGAGGAAGUAGAUGUUUAUACUGAAUCGAAAUCCACACCCGGUCCUUCUAACAUUGCGGAAACCAGUUCUUCACAGGAGUCACAAAACAUAGAGAACACUGCCAGUGCCCUAAUUCCUGAAAGCCCAGAGAUCCCCUUGGCCAUUGAGAAGGUUGAGGAGACCCCAGAAAAGGAAAACGAGGAGCUUCUUGAAAGGACAGAAAUUGCAACAGAAGCACAUCUGGAAGAGGCCACUCAGACAGACCCAGAAGAUCCGAUCAGUAGGGAUACCAUUCCACCACUACAAAUCAAAGUUGUCUCCUCACCAGGUAAAAACAACAGUCUAAAGCAGUCCUUUUUAAUUCAGCAAGUCUCAACUUCACCUGAAAUAAAAGAAUCUGCAAAAGACCAUCAGCAUUCAGAGAAUAGUGAAAAUGUGUUGGAAAUGACUGCUACCUCUCCCACCCGUAAAGUAAGGAAAAGCCUACGUCAAAACACUGUUCGGAAGAAGCGUGCAAAACAUAAAAACUGGACAGUUUACAGGCGAAAGUGUAAAUUGAAUGAAUCUCAAGAAAACCCUGUCUCUGAAAUUGCAACUGAAACCAAAUGUCAGGUGGAGGAAUCACCAGUAUCACCAACAGCAGUGCCAGCACCUGAAGAAUCCAAACCAAGAAGAAAUUCUAGAGAAGUUAAGCAUAAAAAAGUUAAAAGGUCCGUUCCACCAACUACAGAACCAUUACCUGAAGCAGCCGAAACUCAGAUCAUUGAACAGACUAUUGGAUCAUCUCCAACUAAACCAUUUCUUGAGACAGAACCCCAGCUGGAGAUAAAACUUGAGACCCCAUCAAUCGAAGCUGAAGAGGUUCUAGUAUUAGAGCCUUCCAUAAAGGAUCAGCCACAGGUACCUCGUCCUUCACGCAGACGAAUAAAACGGGUCAAACGAAGACGAAAGCCUCUGAUUGGACGGCGGAUUAAAAAUUCGAAAUUAAUUAAGAAGGAGUUGGUUGAGGUUAGUGAAGACCGUCCACCGAUGACGGGCUCUAAAGUAGAGGAGCCUAAACUAGUUGGUAUAUUCUCAACAAAGUACAAGAGGAAAGGAAUUUUGAGUCUUCAGUCAUUAGAGGAUAGACGGAAAAAGGCCAGGGUCUUAUCAAAGCAACUGGAGAGCACCAACGAAGAUCAACUUUCCGAUCAGGCAGAAAAAGAUUCUACAAAAAUGGAUGGAGAUCAAGACAUUCAACACAGCAAAACAAAAUUCAUGAAAACCAUCAGGCAUUUCAUAAUGCCAGUCGUGAGUGCCCGAUCCUCUCGGGUUAUCAAAACCCCAAAGAGGUUCAUGGAUGAUUUUGGUAUGUCAGACUUUCCUCGCAAAAACUCCCAAAAGAAGCUUGGCCUACAACCAAAAUCAAGGAAACGUGAUUCUAGUGAAAAAGGUGAACCUGGGUCCCUUCAGUGUCAGGAUGAAGAUAUCAUUUUGAGUGAUGCUGAUCUUGAUUUGUCUUCUACUUGGGAAUCAAAACCUAAAUCACCCGACGACACUGAGAUCUUCAGUGAGGAGAAACAGCCUGGGAAAAGACGAUCGCUACUCCGAGAUCCUGCUUUCAAAUGGGGAGUGCUGGAGCCUGCCAGUGACGAUGUGUAUACCUUCGAUGAAGAUCUUGACAAAGAGUUGGAGACCUUGCUAUCUGCCAAAGAUUUAGACUCGUUUCUUGAUCCUGUCCAAAAGAAGAAAAAAUCCACAAAAUUCAAGGCGCAAUCACAAUUAAGGUUAUACAAAAAACUUAAACUCAAACAGGGUCUCGCACGGCGUAAAAAGACUCCAAAGGACAAAAUGGUUCAAGUUGUUUCAUCCCCUACCAAGACGGAGAAGGAGGAGUUGGAAGGAGGAGCCAGUCUAAUGAAGUCUCUCAGAAACAUGAAGAAGGAAAAAGCAAAACUCAAGAUUGAGGAUCUCAACAGCCCUGGGGUUGUUCGCAAAGUCUCCAUCUGUGUACGAGCUCUGAGUGCCAAGUUGCUUGCGCAACACCAGGCAAAAGACAUCCAUGAGGAUGACCUGCCAGAUGAGUUCUCCAUUCAUACAGACAUCUCACUUCCCAAUAAAUGCAAAGAUUAUGAUGAGGUGCAUCUCAAAGAAUCAGAAGAACCUGUUUCUGAGGACACUCAGAAAACUGCCAUUGACGUUGAGGAGAAAACCGCCAGCCAGCGCCCUCGCCUUACAGGAGCCAACAAGCGCAUGUUCAACCUGCUCAAGAAAGCCAAGGUUCAGCUCAUCAAGAUAGACCAGCAGAAACAGCUGAAAUCAUCUGGGCUCUUCCCAGAGGGUAGAAUCACUGCAACAAAGAGACAGAGACGAAAACCGAAAGAGCGGCUUGAAAAUGCCUGUCCCAACAAGACUGAAGCUUCUCCAGAGCCGGAACCCGCCAGAGGAGGGCCUCGCAUUAAGCACGUAUGCAGAGCUGCGGCUGUGGUUUUGGGUCAGCCUCGUGCCAUGAUCCCGGACGACAUCCCUCGACUCAGUGCACUACCCCUACAUGAGAGAUCGGAUAUAUCCCCUUCGCCUGCAGAAAAAGGAGUCGAGUCUCACUCUGACCCAGAAAGCCCUGUGAUACAAGAACACAGGACACCCAAGUUUCGCCGCGGAAGAGCUCAUUUGUAUAAGAACAGGUCCCGACGGUGUGGGGAGUGUAAAGGUUGUCUGCAUGAGGAGGACUGUGGCAGGUGCAUAAACUGCUUAGACAAACCCAAGUUUGGUGGCCCAAACACAAAACGGCAGUGCUGCGUAUACAAGAGAUGUGAUCAGGUUGAGGAAAGGAAGGCCUUGAGGCUAAGUGGCAAGCUUCAAAAAGGGCACAUGAAAAAGCGACGCUCGUCAAUUAGUGUGGGUCACUCGAGUAACGAGGAAGGGGAAGGCGUCGAUGGAAUCGGACAGAUGUUUCCAGCCUCUCUGGGUGACAGUCCGUCUGUGCGGAAACAACCACGCCGACACGUUAAACCACGUUCCUACUGCGACCUGUUGGAUUACGACUCUGACUUUGACUGGAUAGGAGGAUCAGAUUCCACCUCCCCAGCCCGCAGAAGAACUCCUGGCCUUCGCAACUCAGAUUUUCUGUCAUUUGAUGACUUUGUCGGCGAUGCCUUUGACGAGGGAGUGCGACAUCGCAGAUCUAGCUUCCACAAGGUUCCACCCAUCAAACGGAAAGUUGAGAAGAGCCCUCAGGAACAGACCCCGCCCAGCGUCCUUGCAGCCCUCGCCAAUGGUUUUGCAGAAAGAGAACAGCAGCCCGCAGAGCCCACUCACAAGAUCCGUGUUGAUUUUAAGGAGGACUGUAGUGUCCAGAGCGUGUGGGCGACAGGAGGUUUGAGCAUCCUCACUUCUGUACUACCCCUCAUGCCCCAGUAUGUGUGCCUGCUGUGUGCCAGUAAAGGCCAACAUGAGAUGCUGUAUUGUCGAGUCUGCUGUGAGCCUUUCCAUCGCUUCUGCUUGGACCCUUCAGAGCGCCCUCUGGAGGAGAACAAGGAGAACUGGUGCUGUCGUCGCUGCAAGUUCUGCCGAGUUUGUGGAAACAAGAAUAAAGAAUCCAAGCCGUUGUUGGAGUGUGAAAGAUGUCAAAAUUGUUAUCAUCCUGCCUGUCUGGGUCCCAACUACCCCAAACCCAACAAACGUAAGAAGCCUUGGGUCUGUAUGACAUGCAUCCGGUGCAAGAGUUGUGGUGUGACCCCAGGAAAGAGCUGGGACACCGAGUGGAAUCAUGACAAGGGGCUGUGUCCUGACUGCACUAGGCUGUUUGAUCAAGGUAACUACUGCACCAUGUGCUUCAAGUGUUAUGAAGAUAAUGACUAUGAUAGCCAGAUGAUGCAGUGCUCCACGUGUUACCACUGGGUCCAUGCUAAAUGUGAAGGUCUGACAGAUGACUUAUAUGAAAUCUUGUCGAGUCUGCCUGAGAGCGUGGUGUACUCGUGUCAGCCGUGCUUACAAGAGCUGCCCGAUGGAGAGGACGUUAAUGGAGUAGGAUGGAGGGAACUGCUUGACCAGGAGUUAAAGACUGGUUUAGAUAGGGUGCUGUCUUGCCUGCUGAGCUCCACCUUCACUGAACACCUGGUCACCUGCAAGAAGUGCUCUACAAUGGGUUCCCCGAACGCUGGGGUUGAAGAUUUGCCUGUCUGCGACUUCCGUGCUAUUGGAAAGAAGUUUGAUGAAGGCCUGUACACAUCCUUGAAAUCCUUUCAUGAGGAUGUGGUGAAAGUAAUUCGCGAUCACUUGGAAGAUGAGGAAACUCUACCAGAGGACCAAAGACCGACUGACCUCGCACGCUCGUAUUACCUGAAGGUCUUAGAAGAAGUUUAUGGUUGGUUUAACAGUCAGGACCCUAAAAUAUGGGAUCCAUGCUCUAAACACCUGCCAGCUGGAAUGCUUUCACAUGCUGUGAUGCCGCCAAAUUAUGAACAUGUUUAUGCACAAUGGCGUGAGAGAGAUGUCUGUAGUAAGGCUUUGGACAGCGCCCCACAGAUGACUGGAAGACACAUGGAUGUUAAAAUGGGAGAAGAAGAGGAUCUGUCCACACCUUUAGCCCAUAACCCUAAAGGACACUUUAUGGACAUGAGGGCGUUAAGAAUGAAUCUGAAAGGGAAGAAGAGUCAACCAGCUAAAUCUGACUUGGACACAGGUUGGUCAAAAGACGACGAGAGACAAUGUGUUCUGUGCCAAAAAUAUGGUGAUGCAAAAGCCAGCGAUGCAGGGAGGUUGCUCUAUCUAGGGCAAAAUGAAUGGGCUCAUGUAAACUGCACCAUGUGGUCUGCAGAGGUGUUCGAGGAGGAUAAUGGCUCACUUCUGCAUGUUCACAGUGCUGUUGCACGAGGCCGUCUGAUGCGCUGUGAACGGUGUAACCGAACUGGGGCAACGGUAGGUUGCUGCCUUACUUCAUGCCAGAGCAACUACCACUUCAUGUGCGCUCGCUUUCGCAACUGUGUCUUCCAGGAUGAUAAAAGAGUCUUCUGCUACAAGCAUCGUGACCUUAUAAGUGGAAAAAUGAUCACUGGUCAAGCGUUUGAAGUACUUCGGAGGGUUUAUGUGGAUUUUGAAGGGAUAAGUCUUCGCAGAAAGUUUUUGACUGGAUUGGAGCCAGAGUCUGUCAAUCUAAUGAUAGGUUCUUUGCUGGUAAAAAAGCUGGGAAAGCUGAGUGAAUUAUCUGUCUCUAAUGGAAAUCUUUUUCCUGUGGGUUAUGAAUGCUCUCGCUGGUAUUGGAGUACUGUAAACCCUCUUCGUCGGUGCAAAUACACAUUUUGUGUUAAGGAGGUUCGUUCACCUGUUCAAGAAAAACCAGUGGAAGAGUCGCCCGAUCAGGGAGAAAAUUGCACAAUUGCCCAUAGCCCAUGCCCCUUGUCAGAAACUGAAGCCCUGGGAGUGGAUUUUUCUUCAACAAAUCCUUCCACUGAAACUAAUUCCACUUCGGUAUCUGUCUUUGCCAAACCGGACGUUUGUGCCCGCUCCAAAAUCCCUUCAUACCCCCAGAACAGAAGACCUGCGGGAGGACUUUCCAGACCACUGCCCUCUCCAGGAGCUGCCCCAUCCAAACCUCACCACAUCCUGACUAUUAGUGAUUUGGAAGACACUCGAAGGCCACGACGGCAUAGCCCACACACACAGAAUAGCGGUACUCGCAGUCACAUGGCCUCCCCUACUCUUGGAUCCCCUGCAGGCCCAAUUGCUUCUAGAGCAGGUGGUUCCCACCACCCUAAAUCCUCCCAGUCUACCUCCCCAGGUUUCCCCGUUGGUGCUACUGAAAACCAGCUGACAUCUUCAUCAGCUCGUCCUGUCAGUCGAAGUGCUUCCUUUGUCCGGGGUUCUGGGAUAUUGAUGCCUCAUUCUACCUCAGGACUGUUUUCACAGUCCACAAGGCAAGGUGGCAUUGGCAGCACCCCGUGCACCAACCGAUCUAUCACCACUCCCACCCACCUCUCCACAAGACCAAAACCUUUUGAUUUUAAUCAGAUAGACUCUGUUAAAAUUCCACACCAUUUUAUAGCAUCACCACAGGAGCAUCCAGGAGAAAAUGGUGCCUUGUCAGUAGGAGACCCUUUGGGUACACAAAAAGGUAAUAAUCUAGGCAGUGACAGGGAUUUCCCUUUUACAUCCAUCCACUUAGAGGCAGACCUGACUGUGGCACCUGAGCUAAGAACGGAGCUUGAAAUUGAAGAAACUGAGCUUAAUGAAGGUGUAGCGAUGAACUGCAGUGGCCAAAUUGUAGUUGAAGGUGAAGACAACCAGGAAGACUUCUUGGAGCCAGAUGAAGAGAAGUCCAAAAUGUCUACCCAAAGAUUGUCUUGUACUGUUAAUCCUUGUCAGGAAGACUGGGGUAAUAGUUCUUCUGAUGAGGACAUGGAAAACUACUUCAACUUCACUCGCACAGUGGUUACUUGCAAGGCUCAAAGGGAUGCCUCUCAGACAUCUACAUCUCCAUCUUUAAGGCAGAUUUCUCAACUUGAUGGUGUGGAUGAUGGGAUAGAUAGUGAUACAAGUGUGGCUAAUAAUGAAAACCAGGGUGGGAAAUUGUCAAAACAAGCCCCAAAAACACACAAAUCAUUCAACACUGUGCCUCAUGAACAGACAGCUAGCAAUGGUCUGUGUUUGGCAUUUCCAGGUCCUGUUUCUGAUUUUUCUUCAAUUCGAUUAGAACCUGUGCCCAACUUGGAGACUGUUGCUGAUCAAGAUUGUUUUGGUGUUUUCAAAACAUUGCAGUCAAGCCAAGACCCAUUGGCAAAUGUUGUAGUACAAAAGCCUUCAAACAAUGCAUUUUCUACAUAUGGUAAUGAUUACCAAAGCCCUCAUUUAAUGAUUGAACCCUUAAUUCUUGAGAGUUGUGAAUCUCUUUCACCCAGUACACAUUUCACAGAGUUGGUCCCAGUCCAAGAUUCUCCAAAUGAACCACAAGACUCCAAAGAAUUGUACUUGGAUCCUAGUAGUGGCCACUUUGUGUCGUCAAUGGAUGGCUCAACAGUUUACCAAAACCACUUGCAAGAAGAUUCUCUUGACUUAAUGGAAGUUAAUGGAAUUCAGAUUCCACAGCAACAAAAUCCUGUUCCUUCCACUUUGGUAACCAAAUCUACAUUUUCUGAUUCCUCUGCACAAGUUUCUUUUGCAACAUUCCCAAAUCAGGCACUGUCUGCAAAUAUGUACCCUGUCCAAACUCCUGAAGGUAAGACAGUCUUGCCACCCGUAGAGAGCUUCAGAACCAAAUUACACCCACCUGCUGAACCAAGGCAUCCCGCCCCUUCAGUUCCUGGAGGGGCAAUGCCACGUGUUCCUACAAAGUCAAUGCUGUCUGUGCCAUCAUCCACUGGUGUACCUCUUGGGACUUAUGGGCCAGUUUCGGGUACAGUGUCUGUCCCAUUGCAUCCCACUUACCCGCAGCCCAUCAGCUCUACAAUUGUUGGCAUAAUUUCCUCCUCUGUAACUUCUCAACCAUCAGCUCAGUGCCAAGCAAUGCCUUCUGCCAUUCACCCAGCCUCUGCUACAGGUGUCAUCAAUGGGUACAACACCACACCUAUGCAAAGAGAAACUGCCCUGGGUCGAACAAUUUUCAUAAAUUUUUCAACCCCCAGAUCAGCAAUUGAACCUCAACAACAGUUGGUUACUCAAGCAUUACCAGGUCAUGCUAUUCUUACGGUAAAGGAGGUUGGUGGACCUAAUGUGGAUCCUACACCACAUGUUUUACUUGUUAAUCGUCUUGGUCAAAUAUUUGUCAAAAACCCAGAAAGCAACACUUUCCAACUGCCGACUCCAAAUUCCCCUUCAUAUAACUGUGUUACUCAAAUCGCCAGCCUCCUGCAAAGCAAUGCCUUGUCCACAACACUUGCAGCAGCUGGGAACCUGCCCCCAGUUGCAGGUGUCACCAUUCCGACCCAAAUCCCCCAAAUUGUAACUCCACUGGUACAGACCUCCAACACUAUUACCCAGUUACUUACCACUAGUACUAACGGAGAGGUUUCACUACCAGCAGAUGUUAAAAAGUCACGUCGGAAUGCCAAAGCUUGUGGAGAUAGAGUGAAAAAACCACGAAAUAAGGAGUCUUCCACACCUAGAAGGACAAAGUCUGCAAGCACACACGGCCCCUCUAGCAAACAGUCUACGAGUCAAAAAACAACCUCCUCAGAUACAUCAAAUCAAGCUGAAAGUGCCCAAGCUAUCAUUAACCAAGCUAUGGCUGGAUACUAUGAUCCCAACAAGACAGUUUCCCUAAUUACCUCAUCACCUCGUAACAGUACCGUUGUUGGGCGAACUCAGUCAACAAGUUCAAUAGUUUUACCAGAAGGACUCCUUGUUGAAUCCGAGAUAAAGGCUUCCCCACCAGCAACACCAGAAGCAGCACCUCGACCAAAACAGGUUAGAAUGAAAAGAGUGUCCUCUUUAUCUGACCGUAUCGCCACCAAGAAAUCAAAAUCUGACUUUUUAGACCUUGACCGCCCUAGUGGAUUGGAAGAACCACGCAAGUCAAACUCGGUAUCAGCAAGGUAUGGAGUUCGCAUUAAAACUCCAAGCUUCAAAGGAAUUCUAGACUUAGACAAGCUGAAUGAAGAGCGAAGUAGUGACUCAGAGAGUGCAAGUUUUAGGCCUGGGCCUUGGGAUCGUCUUUCAUUGCCUCGUGGUGGAGACAGCAACAAACCAACAACAUGGGAUCCUGCUAACCGGAAUCCACUGCCUGACUGGAACAAAUACUCAGGGAUACUGUCUUGUUCAGAUGAUGAGAUGCUUCCAUCAGAUGGGGAAGAGCAUAGCCCUCCCAGCCGAGACCAACCCUACCUAUGCUUUGAGAUCACUAGUGAUGAUGGCUUCAUGGUAGAAGCACACAGUAUUGAGGUUGCUUGGGCCGCUGUUAUCGAGGGAGUUCAGGAGGCCCGUGCUGUUGCUGGACUGAGGCAGCUCGCUUUUUCUGGGAUGAGUGGUGCGCGUGUGAUGGGAAUGCUGCAUGAUGCUGUAGUCUACCUGGUGGAACAGCUCCAGGGGGCCAAUCGCUGCCAUCGCCACACCUUCCGCUUCCACAAGCAGGCCAGUCAGGAGGAAGAUCUGCCCGUUAACCCAAGUGGCUGUGCUCGCUCUGAAGUCCACCUGAGGAAGUCUACCUUUGAUAUGUUCAACUUCCUUGCAUCACAGCACAGACAGCUUCCUGACACAGACCUGUAUGAUGAGGAAGAGGAUGAUGUUCUUCUCAAAUCCACCAGGCGUGCGACAAGUUUGGAGCUUCCAAUGGCGAUGCGCUUUAGACAUCUAGAGAAGACAUCUAAGGAAGCAGUUGGUGUCUACAGGUCUGCGAUUCAUGGAAGAGGCCUUUUCUGCAAGCGAAACAUCGAGUCGGGAGAGAUGGUCAUUGAGUAUUCAGGCAUUGUCAUUCGUUCUGUUCUUACAGACAAGCGUGAGAAGUAUUAUGAUGGCAAGGGCAUUGGAUGCUAUAUGUUCCGCAUCGAUGACUUUGAUGUGGUGGAUGCCACGAUGCAUGGUAACGCGGCGCGAUUCAUCAACCACUCUUGUGAGCCAAACUGCUACUCUCGAGUCAUCAAUGUAGAAGGUCAGAAGCACAUAGUCAUUUUUGCCUUGAGGAAGAUCUACCGUGGAGAGGAGCUGACCUAUGAUUACAAGUUCCCCAUAGAAGAUGCAAACAACAAACUCGGCUGUAACUGUGGUGCCAAGCGCUGUCGGCGCUUCUUAAACUGAAAAGGAGUUUGGAGAAGCUCCAGUGAAGUGACACUGGAUGAGAGUGGAGUUAGACGGGUAAAAACAGUAGAUUGAGGCUUGAUGGGUAAAGGGGAUCCAAGCUGAAGGUUUCAAAGCUUAACAGUCACCACUUCAAUUUCGAAGUCCUUCAACAGGCCCAUACAAGGACUGUUCACAUCCUUCAGCCUGGAUUACUGCGGAUGAGUAUUCUUCCAGUUUAGGAGAGAAGGAGGGAUGGGGCGCAUGAGUGAUGUAUGGUAAUAUGGCCAAGGACUUUUCGAAAACAUCUCCCACCAUGCUGGCUCCUCUGUGAUUUACAAUGAGUCUUGGUUUUCGGUCAAAGGAGCAGUUUUAAACCAGUUCAUAAGCAGCAAAGUUUUUGUUUUCCAAAACCUGGAAUGUGCUGCCAAGAGUUUGGGAUGUUCUGUUCCAAUUAAAUUCCAAACAACCUCCCUUGAGCUGACCUUUAAAGUGCUGGAUUUUCAUGAUAUGAACUGAAUCGCCUUUGUGCUGAAGAAGCAUUUUAUAGUGUGGACCACGUAGUGUGUGAAAGCAUAGUGGGAGUGAGGAUACUCUGUAAAAACAUGCAUAUUACUAAUGAAAUGGUGUGAACGUAUUCAGAUCUGUAUCUAUUUGAUUUUAGUUUAGAUCACACUUAGCGUGUUUAGCUGAGAAAGCCUCACACCGCUCAGGACAACACUGCAGACCCCUCAGUGUGACCCAUGGAUCCACUCCUUGCACAUGGCGCUCAGCAAGACUCGCUCUAUUGCGUUUCACUCUCAUCUGUGACAGUUUGUUCACUUGGAAACCCUUUUAAUCUUUUCACAGGCAGGUCUAACUAUUCAUUCUGUUUUGCGGGCUUGUUCUGUAGGUGUAAGUGUAUAAGCAUUUUUAAACGUGAUGACCUCCAUGGUGCUAAGCCUAACAUGAGUUUUGAAGGGGAUAAAAACCGUAAUGUUUCAUGAGAACAGAUGUGAACUGUAGUUGCUUCAGCAGGUACUAAAACAGCAAAGCAACCCAGAAAGACACGCUUUCCAACAAUGAGCCCAUAAAUGUCAGUGGUGUUUUGAAACAUUAUUCCCAGUACUCAAACUGCAACAUUUUAGCAUGUUUGUGAUUUAUUUUUGUUAUAGAUUUUUUUUAUGCCUCUUGAGAGCCUUGUGUCGAAACAAAAUCAUGCCCUGAGAGUGGAUAUCUUGAGUUUCUAUUGGUCGUGUAGUAGAGGACACUACUUAAGCUAGUCGUCUAAGUGUGAUGACGUUGUGGAUUGUUCCUGCAAUAAUUCAUUUCUGCCGCAAUUGCACAUACAAUUGGAGCUCUACAUUUAUCUAGGGAGUUAGAAACUGCUUAAAGUGUCCUAGAGACGUAGGACAGCGAAAGGCGAUGUAUACAAGAUCUAUAUAUAUUUAUAGAAGAGUUAUUGAAACAGUUUUUCAGUAGAUGGUGGCACUCGGCACCUUAAUUUAACUCGAAAGAUUUGGGAGUUUUCUUCUCUUCUUCAUGGAGGAAAAAAUCAACAAGCUGAUGCCAUCGUUCAUCUAAGAUCUUUCGGACUGUAAGAGCGUUCUAUUUAUUCCUGUUGGUCUUUAUGGAGGUUUUUACCCAGAGUUCUCUGCUUUUUUUUGUAUGUGACAAAGGUCUUAUCAGAGUUUUCUUCAGGUAUUUUUUGUUUCUUCGUUAUUUGAAACCAUUUUUCCCAUUUUCUUUAACUUGGACACUGAGGAUGAGUUCUUGCAAUGUGGCCUUUUUACAAGGUGAUGUGUUGGGCCGCCUGUUUGUUUUAUUAAUGGCUUAGUUAUCUGAUUUUAUUCUAAAAGGAGAAGUUUCCUCCCAACUAGAUCACGUUGUCAUCUCCUGCUUUUUCCCUUACAUUGUGUGUUUGUGUGGAGGGAGAAUAUCCAUCCAGAACCUGAAAUUUAGCAGAUUUUAAUCAAACCACUCCAGACUUGCAAGGAUUCUACCUCAAGCUGUUCAGACAACAUCAAGUAAUACUAACGCAAAACUAGAUUUGCUUGGUCUGUUCUGGCAUGCAGGGUUGGCUCGUGUGCAAUGAAGGAUGCAAAGCUCUAGUCAGGACCUCCUAUGAUAAUGCGUCUCCCAGAGCUUUUUCGGAAAAGAAAUUCUCUCCGUUCCUGUGUAGGUUAUUUAAAAAAAAAAACACACACACAUUGCGUUGAAAAAGACUUCAAAUGAAAAAACCGUGUGUCUUUGCUACCUUGUACAAAUGACCCCUAUGUUUGUAAAUAGUUGUAUACAUAUUUCUAAACCUGUUUAAUUUUUCUAUGCACUUUUUUUAUUUAUAAUGUUUUUGCUUAAUAAAGAUGUACAAUACAAUGUUUGAACAAAGUUCAAGAUUUAUUGUGAUCUUUGUGUUGACCAUACAAAAUAAUCAAUUAUACACUUCUAAUAACUGAUACACUGCUUUCAGAAAGUGUUUGUGGCAAAAUCCUGUCAAGAAAUCGAAUGCUUGGAAUAUUGGUCCACCAGCAAUUCUAAAUUUCCAAGAUUUAUGACCCGAUAUAUAAAAAGAUUACAUGAUUUAUAAAAAGAUCAGAGGAAAAAAAAGACUCUUCGUUUUCUUGAAUUCUAGUAAUUUAAAAAAAA